UACGUAGGGGGCAAGCGUUGUCCGGAAUUAUUGGGCGUAAAGGGCGCGUAGGCGGCCUGCUAAGUCGAACGUGAAAUCCCCGGGCUCAACCCGGGAACUGCGUCCGAUACUGACAGGCUUGAAUCCGGGAGAGGGAUGCGGAAUUCCAGGUGUAGCGGUGAAAUGCGUAGAUAUCUGGAGGAACACCGGUGGCGAAGGCGGCAUCCUGGACCGGCAUUGACGCUGAGGCGCGAAAGCCAGGGGAGCAAACGGG
rnacentral:rRNA from 1 species